GCAUUAAUGGGGUAGUGGUAACCUCAGUCGUUGCCAUGAAGUGGCUGUUUACUCGACUGGCCGCGAGUUCGAUUCUCGCUUAAUGCA